UCACUGAACGGAUUUACAGAGAAACUCAAUUUUUAAAUUAUUAAGCCUCUUUUUAUGUCAAGGAUAAUGUAUGGCUAUUUUUGUGUAAUUUUUUUUUAUGGCAAUGGUAAUAUAAUUCUCAUAAAUACCUAAUGCUUAAAAAGUAUUGGAAAAAAAUACUUCCAACCUACUUUACAUCGUUAUAUGAUUAUUGCUGUUCAUGGCCAUUUAAUUUCUGAUUCUGAAGUGCCACUUAUUCUUGCCAUAAUAUUGUUAAAUAGACAUGAACCCAUGAUGAAGGAGACCUGGUUUUUGUCUUACUGCUCCAGCUACCAGAUUCAAUUAAUCAGUUUCCCUACUAAAGGUAGGUGGUUCUCUCCUUGCACUCUGGCUUCCUCCACCACUGAAAACUGACCGCCACAAAAUUUCCAAUGUUCUAAAAGUAGCAUUAAACACCAAUCAAUCAAUCAAUCAAUCAAUCAAUUAAUAAGUAUGACUUUGUGUCCUGAAGCUAGCAUGAACAUUUUUGUUUGCUAUUGUCACUCUACCUAAAUUAGUAGUUUUGGUAUGGGAAAAAGUUGAAAAAGAAAAUGAUUUCUAAAAGUCAUUUUUGUCAUCCAAUUCAAUUUUAAUCUAUGACAAAAGAAAUAAACUUUACACAAAUUGUUUAAAUUAGUAAUAAAUACAUGUUUUUCCAUUCUCAAUUUCAUUUUAUCUGUUAACAAUGUAAAUUUUGAAAAUCACCAAUAAUUCUACUCUCAUACCCAUGUUAUCAUGGAUGUCUUCUAGUACUGUGGAUUCAUUAUUAUUUGUUGGUUACCAAUCUUCAUGGAUUUUGUGGGUAUUAGAUAAUAUAUUAAAUUAGACCACCAAUUUAAAUGUUAAAGGAAUAAUAAAUUUCUCAUAGGAUUGUAUGCAAACUUUGGCAAAACAAAGAAAUCAAGUAUCAAUGAAGAUACAAGUUUUCUUCAAUCCAUGAAAAUUGGUACCCAUGGAAAUAAAUGAAUACAUGUGUAUAUUUUAGUUGGACUUUUAUUGAAAAAGUAUUCUCAAGGACACAAGUGAAUAAAACUGUCAACAUUUAAAACAUAUUCAACAUCAAUUUUUUUAAUUUUAAAAUCAUUGGGCAUGCAUUAGAAUAUCACCAUUAUUUCCAUUCCAUAGAAAAAGUAUUAAUUCAUCUGACAUACAUAGUGCACAUCUUGUACCACUUAGCUCAUAGGUUUAAUUGUAAUGAAAGUAACACAUUAUUUAUCAUUUGCUAUUUUAAAUCUCAAGGUUACACUUUAAAUGAUAGCUUUUUAUCCAUGAUAUUGUAAAAUGCACGAAAUCAUGCAAUAAAAUUUAAAAGAAAUAAUUAUGUUGAAUGCAUAGUUUUGUUAUUUAUAAUGGAUGUACCAUAAUUAUACAUAGUAUGAUGAAGUGAAGAUUUAUUAUUAUCUUUUUGAUAGGUAUAACAAGAUUUGUACAAUAUGAGUUUGAAUUAUUUAGAUACAAUGAAAUGCAAGUUAUUAUUUAUUGUCAUUUGUUUCCUCCUAAACAUUUUUGUAAAGGGAUAGACACAUUCUUUACGUUUAAAAAGCACUAUUAUUGAUUAGUAAAUCCAUAUGAAUACAAGAAAUAAUGAUACAAACUCUUCACCAGGUGUAAUAUUAUGAUACUGAAAUCUGUGCUUAAUGAAAAUUGAUAUUAUUGACUACUUUUAAAAUGUCGGUAUAAACUACAUGCUGUUCAUAAUUUUGUACCAUAUUUUGUCAUUUAUGAUGUUAUAUAAUGCUUCCAUUUUGUAUUACAUUCUAACAUCUGUAAGAAAUAUGUAAAUGAACCCAUGCAUCUUUUGUAAUCUGUCAAGAAGAAAGAUCUUUAUGUAUCAAAAUUAGCAAAUUAAUGCUUUUAGUUGUUAAAAGCAAAUAUGCAUGGAAGAAUGUCAAAAACAUUUUACGGUAUAGAUGUGAAUAUAUUAAUUGUUCAGGAUCUGCUGAGAUCAGCAUGUUCCAAUUAUGUACUUGUGAUAAUGUAUGUCUCAUAAUCAGCAGGUUAAAGCACUCUGAGCCUGCUUUCAGUAUCUGCUAUGACACAAUAUAAUUUGACUUUGUUUAUAUUUUGUUGUAUUUGGUAUUUCAUGAUACAGAGACACUUGAUUUAAUGCUUCUACUGGUUUGAUUUUUACAGUGCAUACAGUAUAUUUUUCUUUCAUCUACUAAUCAAGGUUAGAUCUUUGAUACUUACUGUUUUUAAUCACAAAUUAUUAUAGAUACUGGACGAUUAAAAGCUUGACAGGUUGGUUUAUUGCAGGAGACUGUCUCUUGGUUGUUUUUGUUGUUGGGUUGCUGUCUCAUUGAAAUAUACUCCAUAUAUUUUUUUCCAUCAUGAAAAUAACACUUAAUGAAUUUGGAAUGUGUAAAUAUUUGAGGAACUUCACAGCCAAAAGAGGCUGGUUUAAUACUUACAACACUAAGUUUAACCUACAAAUUACUAAACAUAACAUAUUUGUUCAAGUUUUUUUUUCUAGAUCAUACUGAUAACCUUCAUGUGUUUUGAUGUCAAACAUGUAUUUUAUGUUGUAUGGUGUUGACUUUAAUACAGUGAAAAAUAAUUAGAGCUUCCCAACUAAACUUACCAAAGAUAUAAAAGAAAUAUAAAGUAAAUUUAGUGUUUUUGUGAAAUUGUUAUUUAAUUUUAUGCUGUUUUUAGUAAAUUAUACAUGAUACAUUCCAAUAUUAAUAUUCACAAAAUUUAUAUUUUUAUAUCAUGGCGUUUUUAUACAUUUAUUUAUUGAAUUAUGAAAUACAUUAAUAUUCCAUGAUAUAUAUUUUAUUCAUUAUUACAUUUUAUUCUUUUGAAAUCCAAGUGCUUGUUAUACAAUAUUGAAUUUUCAAACUUUUGAAAUGGGAAUAGAAGCCAAAAAAACAUUACAGUUAACUUCACGUAAGAAUUAAAAUUGAAUAGCUCUUGACCAUUAAAGUGUGAAUAAAAAUGUGCAUAUUGGGGUUGUUUGCAUAAAAACUAUUUCACACGAAAUAUACAUCUGGUAUUCUAAAUUGAUCCUCAUGGAAUCUUUGAUCAUUUAUUUUCAGCCUCUUUCAAGUAUCAUUUUAAACAGAUAAAUUAAAUAAAAAAAUAACUUUAUUGAAGUUAUGACAAGGUAGAUUGAUUGUUGUCAGAAGUAUUUCUAAUGAUGAUUCAGUUAUCGGAUUUUUCUGAUUUGCCGAUGUAUCAUACAUUAUAUCGCUUUGUUUAUCUUACGGAAUUGUACUGUUAUAGAAUUUACCAUCCAGAAGUUUGCCAUUUAGUAAUAUCAUCUUUUUCAUUGUUUUGGCAUUAAUAGAAAA